rnacentral:rRNA from 1 species
UACGAAGGGGGCUAGCGUUGUUCGGAAUUACUGGGCGUAAAGCGCACGUAGGCGGGUUGUUAAGUCAGGGGUGAAAUCCUGGAGCUCAACUCCAGAACUGCCUUUGAUACUGGCAACCUAGAGACUGGAAGAGGUUAGUGGAAUUCCCAGUGUAGAGGUGAAAUUCGUAGAUAUUGGGAAGAACACCAGUGGCGAAGGCGGCUCGCUGGGCCAUUCCUGACGCUGAGACGCGAAAGCUAGGGGAGCGAACAGG